rnacentral:siRNA from 1 species
CGGUCAAUCUACGUCUUUGGAGU